rnacentral:tRNA from 2 species
UGCGGGGUAGAGCAAUCAGGCAGCUCAUCGGGUUCAUAACCCGGAGGUUACAGGUUCGAAUCCUGUCCCCGCUA